AUGUACACUGAAGGGACACGAACAGCCUCCGGUGCGAGACAAAUCAGAAGUCCAUCACAGUUAACAGAAGACUUGGCUCUUUUGCAAAAGUGUUUUUCUUUUUCUCUUUCUUCCAGGAGAAACAACUCCAAUCCAAUUUCUUUAAGAAAAGAAGGCUUUGCACAGUUCAGAAACCAGGAUCAAACACUGAAAUUCAGGUCACAGUUGCAGAAUAAUCAUUGUCGCUGAAAAAAUUCACACACCAGAGAGCAAAUCAAAUCACUUGCAUGAACUCAAACCAACCUAAAACAUUACCACAAAACAAACAAAUAUAAAAUUGGAGAUAUCCGUACUGGCUAAUAUAUUCUCUACAAAUAUACAAAAAAAUUCAAACUCCGUUUGUGUUUGUCAGAUGUCAGGUUUUGCAUACUGAAAGCUAAACAAACCAUUUCUUUCUUUGUGUUUGCACAUUUCGUCAGGUGGCCCAUUAGCUGUGGCAGUGGGGGACGUCCAAAAAUAAAAAAUAAAAAAAAUCUCAGGGCUUUAAAAGACAAAGCAGAGAAAGAAAAACAGCCCAGACAACGAGAAAGCCUCGAGCACACUGUCCUCACUGUUCAUAGACAUUAUUUUAAUUGGAAAAUUGAGAGUAGCGAGCAUUCUAAAAACAUAGCUAGAUAUAUUCUGUCCAAAAAAAAAACCCUAACAGAGUUUUUAUGGCCGAUUCCAUUUCUUGCUUGAGAGAAUUACGACAUAGGAAAACAGUGAAACAACCCUCGUUUAUUUUCUUUUCCCGGGAACACAUUUUAUAGAGCUCUGCAGCAAAUUAACUCCACUUCACUACCUCAAUAUCUUAUGUGAAUUAACUCCGGCAGUGUUUGGAGAUUGUGUACAGGGUUUCACAAUAAGUAUUACCUGCGUUUGCUGCUUGUUUUUGGUUUAUUCUGGGGAUUGUUACUUAUAUGGGAUGCGGUUGGGAAGAUGACUUGCUGCUUUAGUUUUGCUGGCCAUAUCUCAGGCGAUUGCUUUGUAAAAUCUGGCUGUGAGUAAGCAAGUGGGUGCCUGUGUUUCUGCACGUCUCUCACGAUCAUCUCUAUGCUUUAUCAGGCCAACAUAGACUUAUCGUAAUCACGCAUGUUUUGCCUAAUGGUGCAACAGAGUGAAAAGCCAGUGAGAAGGAAGCAGGAGGAGCGCAUGCAUGGGUGGGCAGACCUUUUUUCAGCACAUAGUGGGCCUCAGUCUGUGUGAGGGUAGAACAGUUCCAAUAUGAACAGAUGAGCUGGGUGUCAAUUAAAAAACAGUGACAAUAAUGUUCAUUGUGUAAAAAUAAUUACACACAGAGUUUUGAACUCAGUCAUGCAUUGGCACUUAAAACCCAUAAAUUAAACACUUCAAUAAUUGCUUUAAUGUUCAGCUUCAACGGGUUUCAUACAUCCACAUUCAAAAGAACACACUCCUACCCUGUGCCCUUAAAUCAUCUCUACAAUAUCACAUAUCACUACAAGAGACUUUUCAUUUGGAACACUGCCUGUUUUAAAACCAACAUAUACUUAGUGUUGAUGUAUUGUUGAUUAUAGGACCACCAAACAUUUGAUGUCACAUUUUUGGGUUUGGAAUAUAAACAAUAGCAGGGUAGAUGUCUAGUGAAAUAAAUGUGAGACCAUAGCAAAUGUUAUGUUUGGAUUACUAUUUGUUUCAAUAGUACAUUUUUAGUACAUUGUAUUUCCAUGACUUUCCAAAAGAAGUAGUAAAAGAAAAACAAGGAUUGAUUAUGGCAGGCAAAAGAGAGAAAGAUGUAAAAUUGACCAUCACUCCCUUAGAAGAUGUAUUUGAAACCGCACUGCAGCAGUGUUUAUUAUUUCUUUUGUAAUUAAAUGCCAGGGAAAUGUAACAAAGUAUAGUGUUAUACUCUACUGUUUAACAUUUUGGGGUAAGAUUUUUUUUUUAAAUGUUUUUGAAAAAGACUCUUAUGCUGACCAUGGCUGCAUUUAUUUGAUACAAAAUUUUAAAAUAACAGUUUUCUAUUUUAAUAUAUGACUGCAAAACGGAAUUUUUAGCAGCCAUUACUCAAGUCUUCAAUGUCAUAUGAUCCUUCUGAAAUCAUAAAAGCAUGCAUUUCUUUUUAAAAAAUUUAAAUACAAUUAAAACGUUUUUACAAUGUUAAUUACUCCAGAAAUGUGUCACACUCACAUGUCACACUGUGAAAAGGUUCCAUUGAGCGCUAUGUAUUAAAAAAAAAAAAAAAUCUCUCAACAUGCACUACUGCCCUCUAGUGCACACAUUCAGGUAAUGCAUGGUAAAUUACGGAUUCCUCACGGGAAGAAAGCAAAGAUAACGUCGUUCACUGAGAGGUGAAUGAAUUGAAUAGUAUACUAUUUCUUUCUUGCCUCCCGUGGGGUUUACAACUCUGAAACAAACAUACAGCAAUCCAAAGAGAGCCAGAGGAAUCUGAACAAUGCCUGAAGCGGGCACAGUGCCAUUGGAAGCCCAGUGGGUCUUAUUUUUUGCUCUCCAUCUAAAUGUAACACUGUAUUCGUCUGAUUCUGUGAGGUUUGUGAAGGGUGGCAGUGAGGGGGGACCCAGAGGGGUUCGAUCUGUCUGGCUCCUCAUUGACAUUCUCCUGGGCUGGGCUGAUGGCUAGGCCAUGACUCUUAACAGCUAUUUGUUGUUGGGAUGGUCUUCUCUGGCUGGGACGCACAAAGACAGCCAGUGUCAGUGAGACACUCUGAAUGCAGCUCCCUAGCAGCCUGACUCGGCCCAGACAA
rnacentral:lncRNA from 1 species